UACAGAGGGUGCAAGCGUUGUUCGGAAUUACUGGGCGUAAAGCGCGUGUAGGUGGCGAUGUAAGUCGGGUGUGAAAUCCCUCAGCUUAACUGAGGAAGUGCACUCGAUACUGUGUCGCUUGAGUGUUGGAGGGGAUGGCGAAAUUCCCGGUGUAGAGGUGAAAUUCGUAGAUAUCGGGAGGAACACCUGUGGCGAAGGCGGCCAUCUGGACAACUACUGACACUGAGACGCGAAAGCGUGGGUAGCAAACAGG
rnacentral:rRNA from 1 species